UACAGAGGGUGCAAGCGUUAAUCGGAAUUACUGGGCGUAAAGCGUGCGUAGACGGUUACAUAAGUCGGGUGUGAAAGCCCCGGGCUCAACCUGGGAAUUGCAUUCGAGACUGCGUAGCUAGGGUACGGUAGAGGGAAGCGGAAUUUCCGGUGUAGCGGUGAAAUGCGUAGAUAUCGGAAGGAACACCAGUGGCGAAAGCGGCUUCCUGGACCAGUACCGACGUCAGGCACGAAAGCGUGGGGAGCAAACAGG
rnacentral:rRNA from 1 species